CUUAAGAUGACAGAAUUUAAUGUAAUAGUUUUAAAAUCUAUAGAUGGGUAGCCUCUUAAGA
rnacentral:tRNA from 1 species